GACAGCUUGGCGUAGUGGUUUGGGUGUUGGAUUAUGAUGUUGGAGACCAGGGUUCGAAUCCCUGCUCUGCCA